rnacentral:rRNA from 1 species
CCCGUCACAUCAUGAAAGCCGGUUGUACCCGAAGUCCGCAAGCAAACUCGCAAGAGACGCAGCGGCCAAAGGUAUGGCUGGUGAUUGGGAUG